AUGCAUAUUUUUGGGAAAGAAUGUGGGGGUUUCUGUUGUGGAAUAUGCCUUCUUCAAUCACUCUGGUUCUCCACCAUCGCCUCACAUAGAAUGGUGCGCAGGGCCUGAUGGAGCGUCCACAUUCUUCUGCUGUCAUCCACCGACCGUCAUCACCUCACUGCUCAGUGAUUUGGGCUCAGCCUCCUGUCAUUUCUCAACUUCUCCUCACACAGAGCGCUGGGGCCACAGGCCUCUGAGAAAUUGUGACCUUCCACCAGCAAAGCCAGGGACGAGGGACCUCUAAGGAAACAAGUGAACACACUCCAAGCCUGGCUUUAACUUUUUGGCCUAUGUGAACGUGGAAAACAUCAGAUGUGGAAAAUCUGAUAUCUUCGUGUCACUGGUUCUAAGGCAUCCUUCUGGGAAUUACAGGCAGUGUGGAUUAUCUGUGGACAAAAUUCAGGUCCUGAUAGCUCCUAAUUAAACUCUUAAUCCCCUGGGCUACUUUCUCUUGGCAUCUAGCCUCUGUGUCGGAGAAUUCAGAUGGUUUUUCUACUAGUAACAGUAAGACUGAAUUUCAAAGGUAAAUCUACUGAAAACAAAACCAGACUCCAACAACACAAUGCAGUCCAAGUUAAUUAAAUUUAUUUUUUUUAAUUUCAUUUUACAUUCCAGCCCAAGUUCUCCCCCCCCCCACAUCCCA